UAUAGGUGAUGGCAACCACAUAUAAUAUAAGUAAAACCCUACAUGCAUUUCUUGUUGCCUUUGGCCCAGCCAUCACGUCAAAAUCUGCUAUUUGUUUUCAUGGUGAUUUGCUUGUGAAACGUAAGUAAAGAAAUUCAAGCUUCGCUUUUAAAUUGCUUAGUACUUCCGAUUAAUUUAUUAAAUUGUGGGCCUGGGCAAAUUGCUUUGAAGAUGCCACAAUGCGGUGAUGAAUAUGUAGCGCCGGCUAGGAGAAUUCGAUACAAUUACAAUGGACGUUAGAAACGCUCGCCACAACUAAGCAACGAUUGUUUUCUAUACUUAUAGCGAUUAGCAGAGAAAAAAGGUUUAGCGAAUUUACUGCCUGAAGAAAAUUUAGCUGAAAAACUACGCUAGAAAUAGUCACAAAAUAAAAAGUCGCCACAUUUCCCACAGUUUAUUGAAGAUUUAAAUCUGCCACGGGCAUUCAAAUGGUGAAAAUGAAUGUAGAGAAUGAAGUUUAGACACGAAAAAGUUCAAAAUAGAGAAAUACAACGCAAAAAACCUUCGAAACAAGGGC